rnacentral:lncRNA from 1 species
CCUUGGCUUGGGAGGAAGCACAGCCCCCGGGAGCCCGCCUGGGGCUGCAGGGAGAAAGGAGGGCGCCCCAGAGCCAAGGCUGCCCGGUGGUCCCUGCGACUGGGGCCCGGAGAAAGUGCAGGAAGGAAAGAGAAGGCUGGUGGCCGCCUGCCUCCAGGGCGGGCCUCCGAGCCUUGCCCUGUCCCAGCCACAGCCUUGCUUCUUUUGAUCCUCAUCACGACCGCUCUCCCGGCCAGGCCGUGGGUGAGGUUCCCAGGCCUUCAGGGGAGAAGCCGGGGUCUCCAGAGAGAGGUAACAGAGUAAGAACGGCCGUGGGUAGCGCGCCCCUCGGCCCCGCAGCUAUCCACAGGUCUCUGACAAGCUGAGCUGACCUGCAUUUGCCAGGACUGAGUGGGUUCCUGGAGCAGCCUGGAAGCCGGCGGUGGUGGUGGCUUUCCUGAGCCCUGUCACCACGGUCCUGAGAUGAGAGAUGGGUGAGGCCUUUUCCAGUGCUGGUCUUGGGCCAGGUGGG